rnacentral:lncRNA from 1 species
AACCGGGUGCCCUUCGAGACAUGGUAGCCGCCUAUGGUGCAGUCCUCGGUGAACUCACGUGGUGCAGAUAAUGGUGCUGCUGGGUACAAACGCAGCGUUUCUUUCACUAUGGCUUGGAGGUAGACUAGCUUGCCUAUAUCUGACUCACUCACAACUCUUUGUCUGCCUAUUUCAGUGUCCAGUUCGUUUUGGGCUCUUUUAAGCACAUGAGGGUUGUUCAAUAAUAGUGAUAUUGCCCAUGUUAAUGUGACCAUGGUGGUAUCGCUACCUCCUGCAAUCAUAUUCUGCAAAAGUACAAUUUAUUUGAUUAAUUAUUUAUAUUAAGCUAAAGUAUAUAGAUUAAGCUAGGCAUAUGUUUGAUUACCAAGCUUGUGGCUUUGUUGACUGUGUCAGCAUCAAAACCGCCAAGGUCUGCACCAUCAAGCACAGAAAGCAUGGCGUCUAUGAAGUCUUGUUCCCCUUUAGCAUCACCUCUUGCCCUCCUCCUCUUGUGCUCUUCAACCCACCCUCCAACGAUGGCGUCCAGUUCUUUCGCAACCUUCUUCAUCGCCUUCUCAUGCCCACCCAAGUCCAACCACCGAAGAUAAGGCACCACAUCACCCACCACAGACACCCCCACAUAAUAAAAAAACACCUUCAAUGCACUCUGAACCCUACGUGCUUCUUUCUUCUCAUCCUCAUCCGCCGCAACCGAAUAACGCUUUCCGGCCACCAUUCUAAGAAUCACGUUCAAAGUCAUGUCCCCAAACCACUGCUUCAACUCCACCAAAACUCCGUCGCUAUUAUUGCUCUUCCUUUUCUCCUCGGUGCUCCAAGUUUUGUACAAUUCUUGCAAGAAAGUUGUCACUUCAGAGACUCGAAUGCGUCUGAGCAGCUCAAGCCUUCGGUUAGAGAGCAGCUCCAAAGUGGUAAUCUUGCGCAUCUCUCGCCAGAAGUGUCCGUAGGGUGCAAACGCAAACAUGGCGCCGUUAUAGCCAAUGUGAUCCACAACCGCGAGCUUUGGACGCGAGUUUAAGACCAAGUCAUUGGUUGUGAAGCAUUCUUUUGCGAUCUCACUGCUGCUUAUCACGAGAGAUGGAUAGACGCCGAGGCGGAUGGUGAAGAGAGGCCCGUACUUGUCAGCCAUGGCUGCCAAUUUGAUGUGAGGAGGUGUGGAUCCUCCUAGCAAGGGAAGGUGGCCAAAUAUCGGCCAUGCACCCUUGGCUUCAGUUGGGGCUAAUUUGGCAGGUCUCCAUCUGCGUGAGAAGUAAUAGGAAACGAUGAUUAUUGUAAAUAAAAAAGCAGUGAUGGAGUUUACAUAAGGGAGAGAAUAAUCCAUUGAAACUAAUUGGUAAUUGGAAACUUAGAAAGCUAGAGAAUGACAGCCAUGUCACACAUAUUAUAUAGGCGUGAUAUCUAUGUUCAUAUAUGAUACAUAUCAAUACCACCUCAUGAGGAUAGAACAGAAUAUUAUUAUUAUAGAUAAAAUUCUACGCUAAGGAAGUAAUGAUGGUGAUGGUGAGCCUUACAUGAAAAACUGUGUAUCUAUUUUGUUUGCUAUUGCUACGAGACACAGUCCAUUGCUAAAAAAAUCGACAUAUUUAUUUCCCGUACGUAACUUCUGGAGUCUAUUCCUUUCCAAUUGUCCAUCUCAUUUUGUAGAUUUAUAUCAAAAAGCUGGACCAUCAAGUAAGAUAAGAUUAUACACAUGUAUGAUGUUUAUAGCAAAUAUGACCAGCCAAUUGGAGAAUGACAUAUGGAAUUCGAUCCACAAACAACCUAUUAAAUUUAAACAACUUAUUUCGUCCCACAAAAUAUCAUCGGUAAGUUGUGAGAAUUCGGCACCUUGGCCUGCCAAUCAUGAUUAGAAACCACGCUCCAUUGAAGAUUUCUCACAAGGACACAUGGUGCCUCCUCAGGUGAUGCCAAGAGUCUCACAUUGAAAUCUCACUCAAGAUGCAUAUCUCCUAAAAUUUAUAAAAAUAGACACAAGUCCCUAAAAAAAGGUAAUUGGGACAUUUGACUACUUAUCCAUAACUUUGUCCAAAUUAGUAUUACUGCCAAAGAGCACACAGAACCGAAAGCGACAUCAUCACUAAAUUGAGCCCAAAAAUGACCAACCAUUUUUUAGCAUCAACAUAUGACAUGUUCCUUAUUUUGAUAAUGUCAAAAGAAGAGGAAUUUAUAAACUGGAACUAUUUAGUUUAAUACAUUCAGAACAUAUAUGCAUAUGUGCAUUUUAUAAUAUCACAGCAUUUAUUACUACAUAUAGCUAAAUUCGCACUCUUAACUAUUUAAUUAUAAAAAUUAGGAGACAAGCAGGGAUGGAUUCAAAAAUUUUCCUUCCAAGAGUCAAUGUCUAAAAGGUUAAAAAAUUUCUAUACAAAAUAGACCUAUAAUUUUUUUUAAUAUUAAAAAACCCUUAAUCUAUUCAAACUAACAGUAACGAACCAAAAUUAAACCUCCGCGGCAACCAAAAAAAACAAAAAAACCUCAACAACUAAUCAAGAAAAACAUCAAUAUUCAUCCCAUAAAAAUAACACGAUAAAUUAUCAUUCAUAUAUAAUUCAUUAAGAAAACAACAUUACAAAACACAUAUUAAAUCAAUCCACCAUAUUUUUAUUAACUAUAUUAACCAAUCCACAAAAACAAAAACCUUAUAUUAAAAUGCACAAAGAUUCAACUCCUAAAGUAACAACUUUAAACAUAUCAACCUACUAAAAAGAAAUAUUAUAAACAUUGCAGGACAGUCAACAAUGUAAUUUAUCUCGGUUACAGCUAUAUUGAUGUAGUGAACCUUAUUUAUGUUUCUAAUAUUGAAAAAAAUAAAAGCAAGACAAAAACAAAUUAUAAAAUAGAAUGAGCUAAAAUUAUGUAAUAAAGAAAAAUACAUGAAAAGGAAAAAAAUGUAAAAUAAAAAGUAAACGCAAAGUAAAGAGCAAAAGGAACAAAGACAAAAAUAUAUACAAAAAGAAAAAUUUGAAAUGAAAAAGAAGAGAAAAAGCAAGAUUGGGAAAGAGAAAAAAAGAAGAAGAUAAAAACAAAUUGAAAACAUAAUAGCGUAUUGGGUUUGAAAUGUCCAAUGUAUUGGGGAUUGUGGGCUUUAUCGGGUAGCAGCUUCAUUGCUUGCCGUUGCCCCUUUUUAUUUUAAUAUGUUUAAAAAAUAAAAAAUAAAAACUUAAAUGAAACGGUGUCGUUUGUAGGUGAAUCAAAAGAAGAAAAAAAGGAAGCACUCUGUGUGCAAUGCUGUUUGCUGCGCUGAAGUUGAAGUUGUUGUAACCUUUUGAGGCAUUUCCUCGAACAGAUGGCGGGCAUGAAUUGCCCAGCCAUCCAGCCAUUGCAAGGGUCAAUUUUUCUUCCUCUAGUGGCGGAUUCCGGAGUUGCAAGGGUCAAUUGACCAUCCUUGUUCUUCUGUGGAUCCGUCUCUGGAGACAAGCGUGGUUUGACGAGGACAGAAAGAGGGGUCAGUUUCAUGUUCGUAAGUCCAAUACUUCCAGUCAUAUCAAUUGGUGCGUUUUCUUAAGUCGUGACAUCAAACGAAUGAAGAAAACUAGCCAAAGUUCCUAUAAUACCCUUGAUUAUAUUUUUAAUGUGAUUUGUUUAAGAAAGGCCAAAAGUCACUUUUGGUCCCUAUAGUUUGGCACUUCAACUACUUUUGACCAUGUAGUUUCAAUUCCAUCAAUUUUGCCAUUGUAGUUUCGUAUUUGUAGCAAUUCAAGGACAUGUUAUUAUUCUUGUCAAUUUCUUUAACGAUGCAAGGGGCAAUUUCGUCAACCCAAAACCCUUGAGCGUAAAAGCUUGUCUGAAAAUCUCCCAAUUUCAUAUUAGGACUCGAAAUUCAACCACUAAUCCCAAUUUUUGAAGAACCUUAAACCCAAAUGACCAAUUUAAAGCCCUAAUAUGAAAUUAGAGAAGUUUUAGACGAGCUUUUGUGUUCAAAGAUUUUGGGUUGACGAAAUUGCCCUUUGCAGCGUCAAAGAAAUUGACAGAAAUACUAACUUGUCCUUGAAUUGCUACAAAUACGAAACUAUAUGGUCAAAAAUGGUUGAAGUGCCAAAUUACAAGGACCAAAAGUGACUUUUAGCCUUUAAGAAAUUAACUGCAAUUCAAUGCCGAUUAAUUGUGUUUCGAUUUUGUAUAGAUUCCAAAGAUUUAAUGGGUCAGUUUUUUCCUUAUUUAAAAAAAGUAAUUAAAACUUGGUGUAAUGACUGUCAUAUGGUUUGAAUAUACUCAUUGUUUCUAUAAAAAACACAAGAAUAUAUUCGUUUUUUUUAUUUUUUUCAAAUUUGACUUCUUGAUCAUUUCAUAUUUUAAUUUUCAAAUUGAUAGCUUAUUUAUACCAAUUUCCAAAUUCAAUAGUUGUUAUGGUUUGAAAUUAAUUUGUUCAAAGGGAAAUAACAUGUUAUUCUUUAUUUGACCCCGUGUUUAGGUACAUCAAUUUACCUACAUUUUUUCUUAGCAACCUAUGCCUCUAGGUAGGUAAAUUAAUAUACAACCAACUAAGGUGGUACAAUUUUUUUUAGCUACCUAUGCCUCUAGGUAGGUAAAUUAAUAUACAACAAACUAAGAUAAAUCCUUAGCAAAAAAAAAAAAAAAAAAAACUACGGGUAAAUAAUUUACCUGUAAGCAUUUAUAGGUAUUUUUACCUAUGGGUAAAUAAUGUACCUAUAUCUUCUAUAAAUUAUUGUGUACCUAUUUUUAAUUUGUGAAAAAUGUAUGAAAAUUUCAAUUACAAAGUAACUGGCCUAGUUUUUUUUUUUUUUUUUUUUUAAAUUUGGUAAAUAAUAUACCUAUAUUUUUAUACGUAUAUAUUUAUAUUUAUAUUUUUCAUAGGUACAUUACUGGAUAUGUAAGUUACAUAUAUAAUUUUUUUGGUUUACAAUUUUAAGGGGCAAUAUGUUAGAGAGAAUGGCAACCAAAAGAAAUGGGGUGAUUGAUAUGCUAUUAAUAAGGAGUAUAAAUUACACUUAUUUCAGUUAAUGAAAUGGUUGAAAUAAAUAAAUAUAUAUAUAAAGCAAAAGUCAGAGAAUGGUGAAACAUUCAAAAUACCAGAAAAUGCCUUUGGUUAAUUUAAACAUUGAGAAUUGAAAUUAUUAAUUAAAUAAGGAUAAUAUGGUAAAUUCACAAUUUUUCAUAUUAAAUAAAAUUAAAAACAAAAUCAGAUAAUAGGUCCUACUUUUAUGGAACAUAACUACUCAUAUUAUCUUUUCUUAAUUCUAAAAAUAAAAUAAAAUAAAGAAAACCAAUUGGCACAUGCAUGAGCGUGUGCCAAGGGGCUAGUUAUAAAUUAAAUAUGAAGUUUGGUGGCAACAAUAUAAAAACAUAGGAAUACUAUGACCUCUUAUAUUCUACUCGGUCAUUUAUGUUUGAAAUUAAGUUUUACACAAAUUUAGAGAAUGAUAAGUAUAUGACUAAGAAAUAAAAAAUAUAGAGACUCAUAUUCGACAAGCCCUUUUAUCCAUAAAGUUGAGAGGGCAAACGAGGAUUGAUGAGGACUUGAAGAGGGGUCGCCUUGACGUUUGUCAGUCCAAAGCUCUCAGUCAUAUCAAUCGGUGCACUCGAGGGGUUGGAGAUUUCAAACGCAUGCACAAAACUAGCCAACGUAAAUUGCACCAUUUGAAGCCCAAAUGCCAAGCCAGGGCAUGCUCUUCUCCCACUUCCAAAUGGAAUUAACUCAAAGUGCAAUCCCUUAACAUCCACAUCCCUGUGGCUGGUCAGAAACCUCUCCGGCUUGAAUUCCAAUGGAUCGGGCCAUAUUCUCGGGUCGGUUUGAAUCUUCCAAAGGUUCGUGAUCAACCGGGUGCCCUUUGAGACAUGGUAGCCGCCUAUGGUGCAGUCCUCGGUGAACUCACGUGGUCCAGAUAAUGGUGCUGCUGGGUACAAACGCAGCGUUUCUUUCACUAUGGCUUGGAUGUAGACCAGCUUGCUUAUAUCUGACUCACUCACAACUCUCUGUCUGCCUAUUUCAGUGUCCAGUUCAUUUUGGGCUCUUUUAAGCACGUGAGGGUUGUUCAAUAAUAGUGAUAUUGCCCAUGUUAAUGUGACCAUGGUGGUAUCGCUAGCUCCUGAAAUCAUAGUCUGCAAAAGUACAAUUUAUUUGAUUAAUUAUUUAUAUUAAGCUAAAUGAUAUAGAUUAAGCUAUAGGCAUAUGUUUGAUUACCAAGAUUGUGGCUUUGUUGACUGUGUCAGCAUCAAAACCGCCGAGGUCUGCACCAUCAAGCACAGAAAGCAUGGCGUCUAUGAAGUCUUGUUCCCCUUUAGCAUAACCACUUGCCCUCCUUUGCUUGUGCCCUUCAACCCACUCUCCCACAAUGGCGUCCAGUUCUUUCCCAAUCUUCUUCAUUGCCUUCUCAUGCCCACCCAAGUCCAACCACCGAAGAUAAGGCACCGCAUCACCCACCACAAAUAGCCCCCAAUAAUGAAAAAACUCCCUCAAUGCAGUCUGAACCCUACUUGCUUCUUUCUUCUCAUCCUCAUCGGCCGCAACCAAAUAACGCUUUCCGGCCACCAUUCUAAGAAUCACGUUCAAAGUCAUGUCUCCAAACCACUGCUUCAACUCCACCAAAACUCCGUCGCUAUUAUUGCUCUCCCUUUUCUCCUCGGUGCUCCAAGUUUUGUACAAUUCUUGCAAGAAAGUUGUCACUUCAGAGACUCGAAUGCGUCUGAGCAGCUCAAGCCUUCGGUUAGAGAGCAGCUCCAAGGUGGUAAUCUUGCGCAUCUCUCGCCAGAAGGGUCCGGAGGGUGCAAACGCAAACAUGGCGCCGUUAUAGCCAAUGUGAUCCACAACCGCGAGCUUUGGACGCGAGUUUAAGACCAAGUCAUUGGUUGUGAAGCAUUCUUUUGCUAUCUCACUGCUGCUUAUCACCAGAGAUGGAUGGACGCCGAGGCGGAUGGUGAAGAGAGGCCCGUACUGGUCAGCCAUGGCUGCCAAUGUGAUGUGAGGAGGUGUGGAUCCUCCUAGCAAGGGAAGGUGGCCAAAUAUCGGCCAUGCACCCUUGGCUUCGGUUGGGGCUAAUUUGGCAGGUCUCCAUCUGCGUGAGAAGUAAUAGGAAAUGAUGAUUAUUGUAAAUAAAAAAGCAGUGAUGGAGUUUAGAUAAGGGAGAGAAUAAUCCAUUGAAACUAAUUGGUAAUUGGAAACUUAGAAAGCUAGAGAAUGAAAGCCCUGUCACACAUAUUAUAUAGGCGUGAUAUCGAUACCACCUCAUGUAAUUAUUUUUAUAGAUAAAAUUCUACGCUAAGGAAGUAACGCAUUGAUCACGUCAAAAGUAACAUUAUCAUAUGAAAAACGAUGCGUUUAGUUUGUCCGCUAGUAUAGCACGCUGUGAAGAUUGUUCAAACUUCAACGCCACGUGGUAGACAAGUCUAAUUAUUGAACAAUCAACCGAGUUUUUUACUUGGGGUAUAUCACUCUAUCUACUCGGGAAGACGAGGAAUGCUAAUAACCUUCUCUUUAAUUUUCUCUUUUGAAUUUACUCUCUUCUCUUCAUGACAUGUGUCACUUUCUCUACACUUAAAACAAUGUCAUUAAUACAUUAGACAAUGUAUGUUUUGUUUUUCAAAUUUACCUUUGUUAAAUGCAUUGGACAAACUAACUUUUAUUUUUACCUUGUUAAAAAAUUAAAAGAGAAUUUUAAAUUCUUCCACAAAAUUAACGUCAUAUAUUUUUUUUUCUGUUUGCUUUUUACCUUUUAACUUUUUUAGUUAAUUAGAAUGUUCAUUAAUUUUAAAAAAAUAUUUAUCUGUAUUUUUUUAAAAUUCCAUAAUUUUGAAAGGUUUUAUUGCAAUACUUAUUUUUGAAACCAAAUUUUUUUUUUUUAGGGAAGUAUACUUCGUUUUUAUUUUUAAAUAUUUAUUUAAUUGAACUUUUAAUGUUUAUUUUUAAAAUUUAAUUGUUUAAGUUAAGUUGUAAAUUGAAGGAAAUAUAAAGUUAAUACAUUUAAUAAGGGUAAAUUUGGGAACAAAAGAUAUAUUGUCUAAUGCAUUAAUGUCAUUGUUUUAAGUGUAAAGAAAAUGACACAUGUCAUGAGGAGAAGGGAGAAUGUCCAAAAGAGAAGGUUAGAGAGAAGGUUGCUAGCAUUCCCCCAGGAAGAUACGAUUUCUCUAUCUCUAAUUCUGAGUGACCAAAAAAGAGAUAGCAUAGCCUCCUGCUCACAUUAUUUAUUAGUUCCAGUGCCGUUUUGGCCUUUUCUACUAGCUUAAUUGCUGUGGUGAACGUAUUCUCCAUCGGCGCAAUGAAAUCAAUAUUCGUAAUUUCAAUACGCAUGCAUGGUGGAUGGUGGGUCAACUUCAGGGUUGGUGCUGAGAUUUUGAGGAUCCUGAGUGAAAUUUAAAUGAGAGUCCUUAAUUUAAUGCAAAAAUAUUUAUAAAAAAAUUUGCCAUGACUUAACACAAUAAAACAAUUUUUUCAAUAAUUAAAUUAAAAUUCAUCAUCUAUUAGCAUGCAAUAACAUUCAUAAAAGUUUUAAUGUUUCAAUUUGAGAAAAUGGAAGAGGAAGAAGACAUGAGCUUUUUUUGUUUCAUUUUGAAUGGGUGAAAACAUACAGUCCAGAUUCUUUUGUUUGAUUGAAGAAAGCUUGUACAUAUUGCUUUCCUCUUCUUUGACGUGUUUCCUUUUUCUUUUUCUUUUUUCUGUUGUUAACAAUAAUAAUAAUAAUAAUAAGUAGAAAUGUAAAAGUACAACUACUGCAUGACACAACAUGGACUUGAACCCAACUCGCCUACUAAAAUCAAGGGUAUGAAUUUCAACUCAACCAAAUACCAGGGGCAGAGCCACACUGGGACCCGUGUGGUCCCGAGCCCCCACUUAAGUUUUUAUAUAUUUUAAAAGUAAUAUACUGUUAUGUAUUUCUAUAUGUAUAUUAUUUUAAAUACUUUAUGUUUUGAUAUAUACCCAUAUGUGUUGUGGUGGAUCUAUUAAGGCAUAAUGAGGUACUUCAAAUUGCCCAUUUGCUUAAUUGGUGGUGGUGCACUCCAAGUGUAUAGAUUACCUUGUUUCCGUUUUUAGCAUUUAAGUAAAUGUCUUUGUCCUUUUACUUUCAUUUAUUUUUAUAUUACUCCAUAUUUGGAUUCAAAUAAAAAUACUAAAUCAAAUUCCCACCAAAUCAAAAUAUGAAAAAUUGAUUUUAGUGCAAAAUACGAUUUUGGUUAAAAAUGAUGGCUCAUUAAGUCAAUAUAUACUUUAUACUAAAAUCCCAUAAAAUCAAGUUUUCUUAUUUGAUGUGUAAGGAAUAAAAGCCACCAAAAAUUAUCUUGAGAAAAAAUGAUUAUUUCAAAAAACUAUUUUUCAUACUUAGUCAAUAUUUUUACAUAAAACAUUUUUUUUCAUGUAUGCUAUGAAUACAUGAAGGGACCUAAGGUUUUUUUUAGUUUGUGAAAUUUUGAUUUUUUCUUUCCAUUGGAUUUAAUGGGGGGAAAAGCUUUAAAGAUAUUUGCUAAAUCGCUACUCUUUGUCUAUCUCUUACAAUUUUUCUUGCUUAAAAUGUAUUUGUCUAUCCCUUUGUCGAGGACAAUUAUGAUUGUAACCAAUAAGCAAUAUAAUUCUUGACAUAGUGAUAUAUAUAUAUAUAUACUAUUUUUCGUAUGCAUUGUGAGUUUGAACUUUUGAUUCUUUAUAAUUUGUAAGAUAUCCCCACACACAUGAAAUUCUGGUUUCGUCACUGCCAAAUACACAGUUUGUGUUACUUUUUUGCACGCUCAAGUAUAUAUAUAAUACCUAUAAUAUUAAUAUACAUAAUAUACACGUAAAAUUUUUUUAGAGUUCUUAAAAAUUAGAAGCCUUAUGCGGUGACACCACUUGCACACUCUCAGAGCUGCCCUGCCUCACAUGAAAAACUAUGUAUUUGAUUUGUUUGCUGCGGUUGAAAAUUCAAUUCUUAUCCCAGCUUAACAUUUGUCCACGUCAUUUUGCAGAUUUAUAUCUCCAAUGGGCGGGGUUGCCUUGUUAUAUUGGUUUGUAUCCAGAAGCCUCACACAUAUGAAAUGAUUAAUCAUCUUUUGUUCCGAUUUCAAACCCAAAGUAAGUUGCAUGACUUGAAAAGCGAGAGAGAUUCCUGGUCAUAUCAUUGUAUUUGUUAUACUUGGAAGGAUCCUAAUGUCAUUAAUUUUGACUCACCUGCUUCAUUUCCAUUUUGCAACUUAAUUUUAUUGGUUCAACUUAUCGGCAGCAAAAAGAUGAUUUUCACUGGUUAAAGAGGCGAUGUCUGCUUCCCAACUUUUCCUGCUUCAUUUCCAUACGCAUGCACGGUGAUGGUAAAUUGGUAAUGGAGGGUGGUGGGCAGCCUCACAUGAAAAACUAUGUAUCUAAUUUGUUUGCUACUGCUACGAGACACAGACCAUUGCUCAAAAAUCGACAAAUUUAUUUCCCGUACGUAACUUCUAGUAGACUAUUCCUUUCCAAGAAUAGCAUUUGUCCAUCUCAUUUUGUAGAUUUAUAUCAAAAGGUUGGACCAUCAAGUAAGAUAAGAUUAUACACAUGUAUGAUGUUUAUACCAUGUUGAUAAGUGCAUUAUUUUAUAUAUUUUAAUACCUCUUAUAUUUGAUUUUUGUAGCAAAAGUUAAUUAAAAAGAGCAUUAUUAACUUUCUUUCUUUAUUUUCAGCUAUUCUGCGUUCUUAGAAGGAUUUCAACUGAAAAUCGACAUUUUCAAUUUUUCCUAGUGGGUGUGAUAUAUGCUUGGAAAGCUUAGAGAUCAAGCUUCGUUUCUCAUAUUUUUCCAGAAUUUUCUAGGAAGUAGAACGACCCAAAAAUGUGUGUGCAAGUUGGCUGACGUGUUUCCACGUCAAAUAAGGAUUCUUUCCUAGUUUGUUUCCUUAAUUAUUUAGGAAUUUGUUUUGCUUUAGGAGAGUUUUUCCGGCCUUUUUAGAUUAGGGUUUAGUUGUUUUAAACUAUGUAAAGUCACUCUAAUCUUUUCUACCAUAGACCCAUAUUUCACUACACCCACAAAUAUAUCAAAGAGAGAGCCAAGAGUUGCUGCCACAAUGCUUUUGGAGCUUACGAAGGUGUUGCUGUGGAGAAUCCAGAGAUCAAAUUCAUCUACCAAAUCGGUUUUAUGACAACAAUUCUCUUGUUUAUCUUUUCUUUUGUCAUGAACUAAUUUCUCGUCCUAGGGCUACAAUGUAGCCUAACCAUGAAUAUUUAAUUUUUAUAGUUAUAUUAAUUUCUUAUUACUAUUCCAUGUUAAGUAUUUGUUACUGUUCUUAAUUCCUUAAAUAUCUAGCUAAUAUUUAAUUGAUGAUCCAAACGGAGACCGAGAUGAGAUGUUUGGUGUUUGCUUCUUGUAACAAAUACUAUGUCUUGAAUGAGUGCCUGAGAGGGACUAACAUGACUCAUGCAGUUUUCUUACAGGUUCUCAUAGAACUUAAUGGGUUCUUGAUUUUCUAAAUUCGUUGCUCUAGAAAGAAUAGGUUGUUAAUUAAGGAUACUUUUGCUUGAGCCCGAGAGGGGAUAGCGAGUUAAUUAGGAGAAACCAACUGUCAACAUGGUUAGUAACUAAGGUUAAUUGGCAAUAAGAAUUAAGUGGAAUUGGUUAUGGUGAAAUUUGAUGCUCUAGUGUCUCAUCAAACUUGAUAUUCCAUCGUUAAUUAAAUUGUUAUUUUUCAUAACAGUUUUAGUUUAAUUAAAUCAAUCAAUCUUCCUAAUUAACUGUUUAAAUAAACUUCUGCAUUAAUCAUGAUUGAUACUCAAAGAGAAAUUACAGUCUUCGUGGGAAUGACACUUCACUUAUCUUUAUAUUACUUUUUUGGAUUGUAUGCUUGCAAUAAUUUCACAACAAGUUUUUGGCAUCUCUGCCAGGGACUGUUUUAUUUUAUAUUAAUAUCAAUAUAUUUUAAUUCGGAGUUUAAUUUGAUUUUUUCUUUUUUCUUUUCAAGCAUAUUGUAUUUUUCCGACACCCUCAUCUAUGGCGGAUGAAGCUAACAGAGCAAUGAGGGAAUUUGCCAUCCCAAUGGCAACUCCCUUAAUGAUCUGACGUCCUGCUAUAGCGGCCAACAAUUUUGAUAUUAAACCUUCCAUGAUCACCAUGCUGCAAAGUUCAUCCGUAUUUUGUGGUAUGCUGAACGAAGAUCCAAAUAUACAUCUUGCGAUAUUUUUGGAGAUUUGUAAUGCAUAAGUUCAAUAGGGUAACUGAUGAUGCAGUUCGUUUAAGGCUAUUCCCUUUCUCCUUAAAGGAUAAAGCCAAACUUUGGUUACUGUCAGAACCACAAGAUUCCAUCCGUUCUUGGGAUGAUUUAUCCAAGCAAUUCCUUGCUAAAUUUUUUCCCUCUGGCCAAAAUUGCAAAAUUCCAACAAGAUAUUAUGUCGUUCGUUCAGUAUGAUAAGUAGCCUCUCUAUGAAGCAUGGGAACGAUUCAAAGAUUUAUUGCGUAAGUGUCCUUACCAUGAGCUACCAAGCUGAAUUCAAGUUCAGACUUUUUACAAUGGGUUGAGUCAAACAAGUAGGACAUUAGUUGAUGCAGCAGCUAGAGGUGCUUUAAUGGCAAAAAGGGAUACCAAAGCAUUCAAACUAUUGGAGACCCUGGCUUCCAACAGUUACCAAUAGCGGAGUGAAAUGGUGCAUCUGAAGCCAGCUAGGGUCUUGGUCUUGGAAAUCAAUGCUAUGGCUUUGUUAACAACACAAAUUUCUAACCUUACAAGAAACAAAAGUUGAAUCUUUGAGUGUUAAUGCUGUGAACACUAAUACUAAUUUUGGUUGCGAUUUGUGCAGACCCUCAUCCAAAUUCUGAGUGCACUACAUGGAACCCAUUCGAGUCCUCUGAGCAAGUACAUCAAGUUGUAGAGUUUAAUCGACAAAGGAAUGAUCAUUAUUCCAACACAUACAACCCCGGUUGACAAACCAUCCAAAUUUUUCAUGGAGCAAUAAUCAGAAUGUGCAAAUACCACCACCUGGCUUUCCGCCUCAAGAGAAGAAAAUAAAUUUGGUAGAUGGGCUUACUCAGUUGACUAUGUCUACCACCCAAUUUAUGACUAAAACAAAAACUCAAUUUUAGAAAAAAACAUGCUUCUAUUCGGAAUUUGGAGGUGCAAGUAGGCCAACUAGCUAAUGUAUUGAGUGGAAGAAAUCAAGGAGUAUUGUGAAGCCGACCCGAAAUUAAUCUAAAAAAUCAAGAACAAGUAAUGGCAAUCACACUUCGAGAAAACAAGUGAAUACAACGGUUGACUUGGAAAAAGAAAAUUUAGAAAUAUAGGAAGAAGCUGAGAAAUCCCAAAAAGAAGAAAUAUUAUGCUGCUAUGCCGACUCCUUCUCCUCAAUUGAAGCCGUAUAUUUCACCGAUCCCUUUUCCGCGAGACUGAAGAAAAAUAAAAUAUGGGCAAUCUUCUAAUUUGUUGGAGACAUUCAAAAAGGUAUAAAUCAACGUUCCAUUCGCUGUAGCUUUGGAACAAAUGCCAAGUUAUGCAAAAUUCAUGAAAGACACCCUUUCCAAGAAAAGGAAAUUUGGUGAUCAUGAGAAAAUCCAACUAACUGAGGAAUGCAGUGCCAUCCUGCAACGGAAGCUUCCACUAAAGAAAAAAGAUAGAAGAAGUUUUAAAAUUCUAUGCACUAUUAGAAGUAAUUUCUUUGAAAAAGCUUUAUGUGAUUUGGGUUCUUACAUUAAUUUACUACCUUUAUUUGUUGCUAAAAAGAUUAGUAUUGGUGAAAUUAAACCCACUAUUGUUUCUUUGCAGAUUGCGGACAAAUCAAUCACAUAUCCUGAUGGAAUUAUUAAAGAUGUUCUAGUAAAGGUUGAUACAUUCAUAUUUCUGGCUGAUUUUCUGAUUUUGGAUAUGGAAGAAGAUACUGAGACACGUCUAAUUUUGGGCAGUCCAUUCUUUAUUACUGGAAACUCUUAUUGACGUGGAAGAAGGGUUACGAACUGUGAGAGUUGGGAAUGAAAGCCAAGGGUUGCCGAACCUACCUUAUACUUGGAUGAAACAAAACCAUACAACCUAGGAAGGAAUGAGUUAGAAGAACUUCAGAAUAAAUCAUAUGAGAGUGCGAGAAUUUACGAGGACCAUACAAAGAAGUGGCAUAACAAGCAUAUCAAGAAUGAUCAUGACGAUACAACCUUCAAAGUCAAAGGCUGUUGAUUGAAACCACAUGUGGCAGCCAUAUUUCUUAGGAUGAGACCAACGUCCUCCUCAAUAAUCCCAAAUAACAUAUUUGAAAGUUGGGCUAUUGACUCUGAACUAAGCGUUUGUUGGGAGGCAACCCAACUAGGUACCUUCGUUCCUUAUAUUUUUAAUUUUCGGUUGUGUGUUCCCCGUGUUCAUUGCUUUUACUAUUCUUCGUCCUUCCUUAUAUAUAUAUAUAUAUAUAUAUAUAUUUUUUAAACAUUGAGGACAAUAUUUGGUUUAGGUUUGAGGUGGGUAACAUUUGUUUUUUUUGUUUUGUUUUUGUUUUUAGUCUUUUUCGAGUCAUGCAAAACAUUAGUGUUUAUGUUUCAUUGAAAAUGUUUUCAUCUGUAAUGUAUUUAAAGAUUUGGCCCAUGUUGCCUUCUUCAGUUUUUCGUGCAGAAUCCAGCCAUAUAAGGCUCGUUUUCUGACUUUUUGCUUGGAAGUUACAGUUGUUUUUCUUAACAAAGGUUUGCAACUUGAAUUUUUCUGCAAUUAUGUACUAUUUUCUGUUUUUAACCUCAGUUUUCAUGCAGUUUUAAUAUGUUUUCAGUAUUUUGUCUAAAGAAUAGUUGUGUGUUUGUUUGUCUAUUUUCUUGGCAUAUAAGGCUUGUCAAAAUCCGUGCAGUACUUUAAGAGAUAAUUGUUGAAAACUGAUCUAAGAUCGAAAUUGAAAAGAAGCAGUUUUUUCGAAAUGUGAAUUCUAGUUAAAGCUAUUACUUUUUCUUGCUAAUAGAGAUGUAUAUGCCAUGUUUUGAUCAUGAAUGCUUUACUAAUGUGUUGCCAUGAAUGGUUAUUGCAUUAUAAUCUUUGCAUUUCACAAUACCAUACUCGUAAUAUUUUGGUGGACAGAGUUGCUAUGCUCAAAUGACUAUGGAAUAUUAGUGGAGACUAUCCUUGUGAGAUAUUGAGCCAAAAGCCAUUCUUUGAGAGGGGUUUUAUUGUUUCUACUCUUAAACAAUCUUCGAUUUUAUUCUUAAUUAGAUUGCUCUUAUUAGGUUUGUAUUGGAUACUAAAGAAUUUUCUUAUUUUUGCAGGUACGUCGCUUCCAAUUUGGAUGGACCAUUAGAGAGAUGAUGUUAGGCUAUGCAUGUUUUCACCCACUAAAAGACCUUUCACCCUACCCUUUUGUGUGUGUCAUUAACCCCUUUGUAACCAAAUACUUAACCUUUCUUUCAUCACCCCUAUUAUCUUUUACCUAUGUAACCUGUUUCUAAGCCAUACCUUAUAGCUUAGGAUGUGCCAAAGUGAUGAAAAUAAGAAAGUUAAUUUCUACACCAAAGAAUUGGCGUGUACCAAGGUGUCUGUGUAAAAUUGCAAAAAGAAUACUGAAGAAAAGAAAAGAAAAGGAAAGUAUUUUGCAAUUUAAAAGAAUAAAAGGUCAAAUUAAAUUACUCCAAACGGAAUAGAAAAGAUGCACAAUUCCUGGACGCUAAGUAUUACAAAAUGUUCAAAAGGAGCGGACCGUGUAUGUGAUCAUGAAUAAUGCUUUGGUAUGUCCUAAGUUUUUGUUAUUCCUUUCCUUGCUUUCUUAACUCGAGCCUAGCAUUUCAUUACAAUCUAAGUAGAAGACCUAACUGAUCUUUUGGAAAUCUUGCUUCGAGGUGAGGCAUGUACUCUAGUUCUUAGUAUUUGAUUCUUUUCAUGAAACAUUAUUUUCAGAAAUUUCCAUUCUUCAAGCUAAGCAUAUGUGUUAAAAUUUUGAUGUCCAUUACAUAACUUCAUACACAUAUAUGACAUUUGAGUGUAAGCCUAGGAUUUGGAGAGAAAAAUUAUAGAGUGAUAUCCGGUGACGAUUAGAUUCAAGGCAAAAUAAUUCCAUGGCGUUCGGGUGUAGUUGUAUUUAAACUUUGAUGUUAUGACUUUUGGUAUUAGACGUUACACCAAGAUGCAAUGUACUCAAAGUGGCAUAGCUUUAGUGAUGCAAAUGUUUGUUUUUGUUAGCUUGUUUAAAGUGGUGCCUUUAACAACUUUGUUUUGUAGGAAAAAGUUUGUGGGUAUAAUGACUAGUAACCCUCAGGUGACACAACUCCUCCUACUAGGGACACCUAGAGGUUUAAUAGCUUGUGGCACAUGCUAAGUGCCAUCGAGUUUACUUGCAAAAGUGGUUUAGUUAGUUUCUUUUUUGUUUUUGUUUUUUGUUCUAAUUUUGCUCGAGGACUAGCUAAAGAUAGGUUUGAGGUAGUUUGAUAAGUGCAUUAUUUCCUAUAUUUUUAAAUCUCUUAUAUUUGAUUUUUGUAGGAAAAAAUUAAUUAUUACCUUACUUUCCUUAUUUUCAACUAUUCUGCGCUCUUGGAAGAAUUUCGCCUAAAAAUCGACUUUUUGAAUGAAUUUUAGUGCAAGGCCAAUUGGAGAUGAAAGCUAAGACAUUGAAGAUCAUUGUUUCAAAGUUUCAUAAUUUUCUACCAAACCACAUGCUCCAAACUUGCAAGUCAAGACAUCUCAAGUUGAAAUCCCGUAAAAAUUGCACUGCUAUAGAAGAUUGAAGAUUUGAAGACCUUUCUAAUUUUUCCUAGCGGCGUGUGAUAUAUGUUUGAAAAAAUGUGCCUUUUCCGACUAAAAAAUGUGAACCAUCAGAAGCAUGUCACCAUGAUGCGUUUUAUUUCCGACAGUGAUAGUACCCUAAAAAAAAAGUCUCAAAAUAUGUCGGAAAUAAAUUUUUUUUUUUUUGCUGGAAACCUUGGCGCUCGUUGUAUUUCGAACAAAAGUCACUGUUGUCAGAAGUGCCAUGGUUACUUAUUAUGCCCUCGGAAAUAGUUAGUUAUUUCUGAUGGGAACUAGUUCUUCUGGGUAAUAAUCAACUAGUUUCAAGGGUGCAUUUUGGUAUUAUUAAAAUAACUUGUAUAUUUCCGCCGAGCUACUUUUUGUCGGAAGUAAAUGUACUCUAUUUCCGACAAAAGGUCAUGGUCGAAAAUAGUUUUUUUUUCUUUUCGGAAAUCAAAUAAAAAAUAUCACCAAGAGUAUGAAUGUUGUCUCCGAACAUGUUGUAUUAAUACAAUAAGAAAAUAAAAUAUCAUUAAAAAUUAAAUAUUUAAAUAUUAUUGCCACAAAUGAGUAAUUGUCACAUAUAUUACAUGUACCAUAAAUGUUUUGAAUCACUAAACAAGUCGAAAACAUUUUGUGUUACUCAACAUAUUUAACUACUAUUACAUAACCAUCAAUUAAGUAAUAAACUCAUCAAUUACUUAGUUAAAAUGAUAUAACUAAGUAAUUGAUGCCAUGAAAUUUUAAAUUGUUAUGUUCUUAUCCAAUAAAAUCACAGUAAAUUUAGGUUUUAGCCACAAAAAAACUUUCACUUUUGAAAAAAGCCAAAACAUUUUCAAAAAAGACAUAAAAAUCUCUCAACUUUUGAACCAAAGACAUGCAAAUGUAAAGGAUUCCUUAAGAAAUUCAAAAAUAAAUAAGGGUAUUUUUGUCCAUUUUGGCUUCUUUUAAAAAAUUUCUCUCUCCUUUGGCCUUUUUCAAAAUCUCCCUAAAAUCACCUUAGCUCAUAUUUCAAAUAUUUAUUUGUUGAUACAAGCAAAUAUUUGAAGCGAGGGCCAAACUCAGCAAACCAAAGUAUAAGCGGCAAGUUCUGAGUCUCACUCUACUCCUUUGCCUCCGCUAGAACUCCAUCGUCCCCUACCAACACCGACUCCAAAUUCCCAUCAUCCACAUCUCCUCUGUCUCUAUUUUGGUCAAAAUAGCCAGUCUACUUGUAUUUUGCCCAAAAUGGAGCAAGACUUCCUAUAAUCAGAGCUGCCUGUGAGGUUUUGUUAUCUCGCUCUUCAGACUCAAGUCGGCGGCCGUAGAGAUCCCCCCUUGAGUUUCUUGAGGUCCGUAUCUCCAUCCCUUGUUAUUACUUUUAGCUUUUGUAGCUGUUUAAAUGUUUAUGGCUUUAAGGAUUUUUAGGUGUUUUAUUUUGUAACGAUGUUUUACAAGACCUCGAACUCGGAUAAGUCUAUCAAUUCUCUCUUUGAUUUAUAAAGUUCGAGUAGUCGUGUGGAAAUUAUUUUGUGUUAAGAUAUGACUCAUUAUGCUUUGAGCAAUAAUCUUACCCGUUUCUGGUUUGGGGAGACCCCUGCUUUGAUUCAGAAUCUCUUGUUUGAGGAAUGUAAUCCCCUACUUUGAUUAAUGAUUGUCCUCCUCCUUUUGAAAAAAAAAAAGUGGGAGAAGUGAGGUAAGGGUGAGGAUGCACUUAUAGAUUUCUGGGUCUGGGUUCUGUUUUUCUUCUUUAUUUUGUGUGACUUUUGUCAAAAUUAAGCCCACACUAAUUUUUCUGUCAUUAUUGUCUUGUGGAUGUUCUGAUUUUGCAUACUAUCCUUCACAUAUAAGAAGGCAGAAGUACGGUAUACCUCUAUUUGUCACUCUGUUUACCUGUAUUGAACUUUAGGCAGUGGCUUACAGUGAUGUGGUGCUCUUUAUUGGUUUUUUUUUUUGUUCAAUCUAAUUACUAAUCACAACAGCUACAUUGUAUUAGUAUUAGUUCUGCAUGGGAAAUCAAGCAGAAUAUGGUUGACAUGGCUGCUGAUCGUGGGUGCUACAUUGAUUAGAGUACAGUAUGAAUAUUCUCCGCACUUGGGCUCUAAUUUAAAAUAAUAGCUACUUGGGCUUGAUUAUCUACCUGAUCACCUAUAAUUAAGAUACCAACAAUACAGGGACAAACAACAUUAUAUUGAAAAAAAGAAAAAGAAAUAUAACUAUGAACUAUAAUUUAGGAUAGCAACGUUGACAGUAAAUACAUCCAUUAAUUAAAUAAAAAUCCUUGUUUUAUCAUUUUAUCCAUAAAGUUGAGAGGGCAAACGAGGUUUGAUGAGAACUUGAAGAGGGGUCGCCUUGAUGUUUGUCAGUCCAAAGCUCUCAGUCAUAUCAAUCGGUGAAUUCGAGGGGUUGGAGAUAUCAAACGCAUGCACAAAACUAGCCAACGUAAAUUGCACCAUUUGAAGGGCAAAUGCCAAGCCAGGGCAUGCUCUUCUCCCACUUCCAAAUGGAAUUAACUCAAAGUGCAAUCCCUUAACAUCAACAUCCCUGUGGCUGGUCAGAAACCUCUCCGGCUUGAAUUCCAAUGGAUCGGGCCAUAUUCUCGGGUCGGUUUGAAUCUUCCAAAGGUUCGUGAUCAACCGGGUGCCCUUUGAGACAUGGUAGCCGCCUAUGGUGCAGUCCUUGGUGAACUCUCGUGGUCCAGAUAAUGGUGCUGCUGGGUACAAACGCAGCGUUUCUUUCACUAUGGCUUGGAUGUAGACCAGCUUGCUUAUAUCUGACUCACUCACAACUCUUUGUCUGCCUAUUUCAGUGUCCAGUUCGUUUUGGGCGCUUUUAAGCACGUGAGGGUUGUUCAAUAAUAGUGAUAUUGCCCAUAUUAAUGUGACCAUGGUGGUAUCGCUACCUCCUGCAAUCAUAUUCUGCGAAAGUACAAUUUAUUUGAUUAAUUAUUUAUAUAAAGCUAAAUUAUAUAGAUUAAGCUAGGCAUAUGUUUGAUUACCAAGCUUGUGGCUUUGUUGACUGUGUCAGCAUCAAAACCGCCAAGGUCUGCACCAUCAAGCACAGAAAGCAUGGCGUCUAUGAAGUCUGGUUCCCCUUUAGCAUCACCUCUUGCCCUCCUUCUCUUGUGCUCUUCAACCCACCCUCCAACGAUGGCGUCCAGUUCUUUCGCAAUCCUCUUCAUCGCCUUCUCAUGCCCACCCAAGUCCAACCACCGAAGAUAAGGUACCGCAUCACCCACCACAAACAGCCCCACAUAAUAAAAAAACUCCUUCAAUGCACUCUGAACCCUACGUGCUUCUGUCUUCUCAUCCUCAUCCGCCGCAACCGAAUAACGCUUUCCAGCCACCAUUCUAAGAAUCACGUUCAAGGUCAUGUCCCCAAACCACUGCUUCAGCUCCACCAAAACUCCGUCGCUAUUAUUGCUCUCCCUUUUCUCCGCGGUACUCCAAGUUUUGAACAAUUCUUGCAAGAAAGUUGUCACUUCAGAGACUCGAAUGUGUCUGAGCAGCUCAAGCCUUCGGUUGGAGAGCAGCUCCAAGGUGGUAAUCUUGCGCAUCUCUCGCCAGAAGGGUCCGGAGGGUGCAAACCCAAACAUGGCGCAGUUAUAGCCAAUGUGAUCCACAACCGCGAGCUUUGGACGCGAGUUUAAGACCAAGUCAUUGGUUGUGAAGCAUUCUUUUGCGAUCUCACUGCUGCUUAUCACGAGAGAUGGAUAGACGCCGAGUCGGAUGGUGAAGAGAGGCCCGUACUUGUCAGCCAUGGCUGCCAAUUUGAUGUGAGGAGGUGUGGAUCCUCCUAGCAAGGGAAGGUGGCCAAAUAUCGGCCAUGCACCCUUGGCUUCAGUUGGGACUAAUUUGGCAGGUCUCCAUCUGCGUGAGAAGUAAUAGGAAACGAUGAUUAUUGUAAAUAAAAAAGCAGUGAUGGAGUUUACAUAAGGGAGAGAAUAAUCCAUUGAAACUAAUUGGUAAUUGGAAACUUAGAAAGCUAGAGAAUGAAAGCCCUGUCACC